ACGCUCGACACCUAUGGGAGGCAGCAGUGGGGAAUAUUGCACAAUGGGGGAAACCCUGAUGCAGCGACGCCGCGUGAGCGAAGAAGUAUUUCGGUAUGUAAAGCUCUAUCAGCAGGGAAGAAGAAAGACGGUACCUGACUAAGAAGCCCCGGCUAACUACGUGCCAACAGCCGCGGUAAUCUGAGCGGGCUGGCAAGGC
rnacentral:rRNA from 1 species